rnacentral:rRNA from 1 species
GUCGAACGGUAACAGGAAGCAGCUUGCUGCUUCGCUGACGAGUGGCGGACGGGUGAGUAAUGUCUGGGAAACUGCCUGAUGGAGGGGGAUAACUACUGGAAACGGUAGCUAAUACCGCAUAACGUCGCAAGACCAAAGAGGGGGACCUUCGGGCCUCUUGCCAUCGGAUGUGCCCAGAUGGGAUUAGCUAGUAGGUGGGGUAACGGCUCACCUAGGCGACGAUCCCUAGCUGGUCUGAGAGGAUGACCAGCCACACUGGAACUGAGACACGGUCCAGACUCCUACGGGAGGCAGCAGUGGGGAAUAUUGCACAAUGGGCGCAAGCCUGAUGCAGCCAUGCCGCGUGUAUGAAGAAGGCCUUCGGGUUGUUAAGUACUUUCAGCGGGGAGGAAGGCGACAGGGUUUAUAACCCUGUCGAUUGACGUUACCCGCAGAAGAAGCACCGGCUAACUCCGUGCCAGCAGCCGCGGUAAUACGGAGGGUGCAAGCGUUAAUCGGAAUUACUGGGCGUAAAGCGCACGCAGGCGGUCUGUCAAGUCGGAUGUGAAAUCCCCGGGCUCAACCUGGGAACUGCAUUCGAAACUGGCAGGCUAGAGUCUUGUAGAGGGGGGUAGUAUUCCAGGUGUAGCG